UUAACUUCCUAGCGUGGUCGCACUUAAUCCAAACGGUACUAUAAUGUUUGAUUAACCAAAUAGGGACACUAAUGUAGCUAAUGAAAACAAUUAAUUGGAUCGAAAAUUGCAUUUUAAGUACAGAUAGUUCGCAAACUGGCAAACGAGGCACGUGUUCUACUACUCCAUAACGAGACAUUGACAAAAAUCACAUCAAUUCCUGGGUCAAGGAUUCAACGUUGGCGAUAGCCGUCUUCCUUACAUGCAACAAACUUCUCCAACAAAUCAACUUGUUUGCAGUCUCACAAAUUAACGUUUUAAUAUCGUUAUCAAAUACAUGGUUUCAAUUGAAUGAUUUAUUGGAAGGUCAACGUUAGCUGGCUAACUGGCCCACUUCACGUUUGAUCCUUCGCUACUAGCUAACGUUAGCUUGUUCGCAGUCCGCGGCUAAAUCUGGUUUAGUCCAAACUAUUUUGCGGCAGUUCUGCAGGGUGUUGUGCUGACUUACCUGCCUCAAUCUCCGUAUACGCUGGUGUUUAUCUUCUGUAUUUAUUCAAUUUCAAAGCAAUCUGUCGUUGGUUAAAGUUAGACGCUCAAUUUCCAUGCAUAAAUGGGCUAAUUCGGAUGUAAAUAUUUAACCGUAAAGCCCGUAAAUUGGGCGGCCAGUGCCAGCUAGUUCGGGUGCCUUGGUUUUCUGUUCUGCCGCUCCAUGAAUCAAUCUCUUCCACACGCUAUGGAUAAUGUGGUCUGGCGCUGCAGUCUAACACAAGCCAGGGAGAACAUGGUUGUUGGCUAAUGUUGACAAACAAGCCUGCGAGUUUAAAAAAAACACUAUGGAAGCUAGCGAGAUUAGCAAUGUUGGCUAAUUCAAAGCCAGUUUCAAAAUAGUGUCGCUGUUUUCAGCUAUACAUUACUCCGUAUCGCCUUCAAAAAUUAAGUUAUUACGGUUUUGAAAUUGUCAGUCGCGUUUUACUCAUAUUUGACUCUUUAUGUCGCGUAGGUCUCUCCCCUCCGCCAUUUUCAACAUGUCGCUACACAAACAAACAAUGGUAGCUCGUGCACGCACAAUGACAGCAAAUAGGCUCGUUCCCGAGGAGAGGGCAAGGAAGCAAGCUGCACUUGAAAUGUCACUAUAGAUGUAAAAUCCUCUUAUAGAGGUUUUUGUUAUGAAUGUUUUUUUUGUGUUUUUUUUAACAAGCAUCUGUUUUGUACCUCGGAGAUGAAGUUCACAUAGUGGGAUAACUAAUUUGGCAAUGAAGUCAGUUUGCAUAGUUCAGUUUAUUCCUCCAUUUAUUUCGUACACAUUGUACUUUACAUACACAUUGUCAUGUCAGAAAUAUGUUCAAGACGAUACCUAUUGUUUUUAGAGAGAGACUGAACACUUGUUAUUGUUUUUCGCUUCGCACGCCACUAGGUGGCAGAUUAGACAUAGCAAGGAUGGGGAGACUUCGACGUAGUUUUUCUGCGACAGCACAUAUUGUUACGCAUGCAUCGGCUUCGUGAUGGCAGAACUGGAUUCUGAGAACCAGAAAGUGUGCAUUUCGUUGGACGGUGUGUAUCCUGUACAUAAGAGGGUGAUAAAGUUGGUUCCUGAGAACCUUCUGAAGAAGAGGAAGGCCUAUCAACCCAUCAAAGCCACAAAACUGUGCAUUUCUAGAGAAGGGAAAGGUAUCCAAAGGCAAACCCUUGAAGUUUAAGCGCUUGGAGGACUUCCUGAAGGAUAGCCAUAGAAAGCAUUGCAAUGAAACCCGUAUCAGGAGAUCAGCUCACAGACCAGCUCCAGCCAUGCCCUCUGCAAAGAACAGACUGGCCUUCGCUGUCCGCAUCAGAGAGAUUGAAAGAGUCUCGGAGUUCAGAAGGUGGUUCAGAUGUUAUGACUAAGAAAGAUCUUCAGCGGUGCCUUUGUCAAAAUGAAUGAGACCUCUAUGGCCAUGUUGAAAAUGGUUGAGCCUUAUGUGGCAUUGGGGUUUCCCAACUUGAAGUCUGUGAGCUGAUCUUGAAAAGAGGACAGGCAAGCGAAAGGUCGCUCUCACAGACAACACACGCAUUGAGCAGCAUAUGGGUAA